ACAAAAAGAUGAGGUUAUUUCUGUUGAUAGUACAGAAUGAAUCCAUCCUGGUUGAAAACCCAUUCCCAGCUCAGCUGCCCAGGGCCCCAUUCAACCUGGCCUUGAGUGCCUCCAGGGAUGGGGCACCACAGCUUCUCUGCGCAGCUGUGCCAGUGCCUCACCACCCUGAGAGAUGCUCCAGCCCUCCAGUCAUCUUCAUGGCUCUCCUCUGGGCACUCUUCAACGGCUGAUCCUGGAAAUGCUAUCCAAAAGCUACUCAAUAUGGCAUUAAAAAUAUUUUGGUUUUGAUGGAUACUAGAAAAAGUCAAAGGCCAACUUUCUGCAGAUAUUUAUGGUUCGUCCAUGUUUGGAAGCUCUCCAAAGAGAUAGUCCAAAAUAAUGUUUCCAGAGAUAGAGUAGGACCUCCACCUGGCAUGUGGAAACAACAGUGCAUUUCCCCCGUCCCCCUUAAUCCUAUGCUUCAGAAAAGCACACAGACUACAUCUGGUGGAUUGAUAUGGAGCAAAGAAGUCCCAGUCCUAACCACAACUGAUUUGACAUUAAAAGCUAUUUUUAAAUAUUGAA